GACCAGGGCCGGGUUCCCUUCCGUGUGGUUUAUCCGUGCUAUUUUCCUUUGCAGGAACCUCCUGUGACCGGGUGUUGGCAAACACGGACGUUGCCCUGGCAGUGCCAGACACCUUUGGCGGUGAACCUGCCGAGCUGGCGCAGCCCCCGUGACGGCCGCUCCUGCCGUGCCUGUGCCACCCGGGCACGGGAGGAUGCUGCUGGCUGGGACAGCUCUGGCCCCGGUACCUGGGCAGGGCUCGGGCGCCAAACCCAGCCCAGCACCCUCGGAAUUCCCUGCAGCGGUUGGGCCAGAGCCGAGCCUGGUGGGCGAAUUCUCUCAGAGCGAGGGGCUGCUCCCCCCGGGCGGUUCCUGCUGCCUCGGGGUCCCCUCGUGGUGCGGAGGGAGCGUGCCGGGCCCGAGCCUUCUGACUCACCGGCAGGUGCAUUGAGCAAUCUUCUGUUUCCCAAUCUGUUUUCUUUCUCAGGAAUUCAGUCAUCACGUUGCUUCCAGGGCAGCAAAAACGUAAUCCAGCUGCGAGUUCCCACACGCGGCUCCGCUGCUCGGCAGAUGCGGCGGAACCCCUCGUUUUUCACGGGGAGGAAGACAAGUCUGUGCCCACUGCUGAGCCCCGGGCCCCCCCCCCCCCCCCCCCCAAGUCUGUGCCCACUGCUGAGCCCCGGGAUGCCACCGCCUCCCCCGGGCCCCAUCCUGCCGCCUGAGCCACCUCUGGGGUCCUGCAGCCCUGCCCGGGGUGCACAGGGCAGCUGUGCGGGGCUGUGCAGGGCAGCACCCAGGGGCAGCACCCAGGGGCAGCACCCGGUGUUAGAAGCCGCCAGAGCCCUGCCCUGCGCUCCACGUGCCGCUCCCGUGUCGUUCCACAUUCACAUCCAUGGAACUCCUGGGCGAUCGUUUGUGAUGCUGCAGUUUGAAGGUUCCCACUCAUAA
rnacentral:lncRNA from 1 species